UACAGAGGGGGCAAGCGUUGUUCGGAAUUACUGGGCGUAAAGGGCGCGUAGACGGCCCGCUAAGUCGAACGUGAAAUCCCCGGGCUCAACCCGGGAACUGCGUCCGAUACUGGUGGGCUUGAAUCCGGGAGAGGGAUGCGGAAUUCCAGGUGUAGCGGUGAAAUGCGUAGAUAUCUGGAGGAACACCGGUGGCGAAGGCGGCAUCCUGGACCGGCAUUGACGCUGAGGCGCGAAAGCCAGGGGAGCAAACGGG
rnacentral:rRNA from 1 species